UUUGAUUAGGAUCAAUCUUUGAUGGACCUGCCAAAGGUGCUCCAGUUUGACUCAUAGCAGGUGGCAUAGCAGCCAUAGAUUGAUUUGGCGGUGGUGGUGGCAUUCCAAACAUUCUAGGUGGUUGCACAGAACCAGGAAUUGUUGGUGGUGGAGCCACCUAAACAAAAUCACAGAAUCACAAAAGCCAGACUCUCAGAGAAAUAUGAAACUGAAAGACAAUGCAUGUGAUGAGGACUCAUUCAACAAUUACCAGAAAUGGUACUCAUGUCCUCAAACAAGAAGAUGUUUAGUUCAACCAACAUUACAAAGCAAAUAUAAAUCAAAUAAUCAUAUGGGGGAAGCUAUUACCCCUGAAUGCCCAUGUGCUUGUUGAAAUGUAUUUUUUAGUCCCAUAAGAAUUUUCUCAAAUUUCAACUGUUAUUGGAAAUCAAACUCAGGUUUAAUAAGAAUCUGAGCUUUAUUUAUAAGAAGGCAAUUAUUCAAAAAAAUCCUCAAAAAAACAAAAAUAUGUGCAUGCGUGUAUAGGCAAACAAAGAAUAUAUUAAAUAGUCUGCAACAAAAAAAAGGGGCGCACCCUGCAUCUGCAGGUGGUGUACAAAAGGCACCAAUAAAAGAUUAUCUGCAGUGCUAAAAUUAAGAUUAUGCACUGUUUCAAUUUCUUAUCAAGCAUAUCCAAUCCAAAGGUUAAAAAACCCUUUUGUUUGUAUUUUGUGUCAUGGACUAAGAUGUUUAUAGAAGAUGGUCCUUUUACUCUAGUUAGCUUCUUUGAUUGGUUGGGCAUUCAUUGAGGGUGGGUAGUAUUGUUGUAGCCCUUCCUGUUUUCUAGCCCCUUUUUAUCGGUUGUGCCUCUUGGUGGUUGAUGUAUGUCUUGUAUACUUUGGGUUGCUCUUUUUAAUAUAUAUACUUCUUUAUCUAUAAAAUAAAAUAAAGUAAAGUAAAUAAACAUAUAUGCAAGCAAGAGAGAGACAUUUUGAAACAAGAGUGCUAGCAUUUAUUUAAAAUGUUGGUGUUUAAAUAAAUGCAAGCACUCUAGUUCCAAAAUGUCUCUCACUUGCUCACAUUGAUUUAGAAAUUAGCUGAAAAGCUCAAAAUAAAUUUAAAGAAAAAAAGUGGUUAUCCAAUAACUAAUUAGAGUUAGUUUUUGCCUCAUUUGCAUCCCAAAAUACAUGACACAUUAUAUUUUAAUUUUUACAAUCAAAGUAACAAUUAUUUCCUUUUUUUUCUUUUUUUUUAUAAGUAAACGCACAGAAAAUAUAUAUAUAUAUAUAUAUAUAAAGGGUACCUUAAGGCUGACCUGAAGCAUACAUGGGGUAUACAAGAGGCACCAAAAAGCAAGAACAAAAAAAGAGGGGAUACGAAAAAUAAUCAACCCUCAUCUAGAACCCAACCAAUCAAAAAAGUUGAUUAAAGGAAGAGGUCCUUCAUCUAUAAUAGACUUAGUCCAAAACCAAAAAUUACAUACAAAAUAAUUUUUCAUCCUAUGAAUCGAAAGCUCCUCAUUUUCAAAAGCAAUUCUAUUUAUUUCCUUCCAAACCGCACAAAAAAGACAUAAGGGGACUGUCAUCUACACCUUACUACGCUUCUUGCCCAUGUUGAUACCAUGUCAACCAAGAAGGGUAUCUUUAACCGAAUAAGGAAGGACCCACAUCACUCCAAAAAGAGCAAACAAUAACUCCCAUAAAACUCUUGCCUUGGUGCAAUGAAUUAGAAUAUGAUUUUUCAUAUAUUUAAUAUCAAUUAGGUUUCGAUGAUAAUUGGUCAGGCCUUGGGUUUGCUCCCCAAUGGUCACCAGUUCGAGUCCCCUCAGGGCCACUGGAGGUUUACCCGGUCGUUAACUUCAGGACCCCGUGGGAUUAGUCGAGGUGCGCGUAAGCUGGCCCGGACAUCCACGGUUAUCUCAAAAAAAAAAAAAAAAAAAAAAAAAAAAAAAAAAAAAAAAAAAAAAUGAUAAAGGCAAUAAAGGUCCCCCGUUCUCAUUCUAAAUCACUAUCCUCAUGUGGCUAUAGAAUCUAUCACCAAAUUAAAAUACUAUAUUGCUCGUGAUCAUUUUCAAUAACUUCGAUUAACCAACUGUUCUUUUUUGUUGAUUUAUCACUCUUAAGAUAUUGAGAAUGGAAAUUUAUAACACAAGAGUUGAUGAAUUUUUCUAAAAGAUUUUCCAAAUAUUUUGGGUCAGUAAAUUUUAUUUUUUUUUUUGUGUCCUUUGGUUGGCCUUGGCAUACAUUGUAUGCUUUCUGCAUCCUAGGUUGCAGCAUGUUUAUAAAAAUGAACUAUUUCGCCAUACAAUUCAAAGAAACAUAAAUUCACAAUCAUCCUUGUGAAAGAAAAAAACACAAAAAUUAAAAUCUCAAAGCUUACCUGCCGUGGUUGCAUUGGCCAUGUCUGCAGGCCAUAUGGAGAACCAGAAGGCGGUGGCACACCUUGAGGUGCAGCUGAAAAUGGCAUGGCUGUUGGGGCUGUUUGCACUGGAGGACCUGGUGGAACAUUGGGAGCUGUACUUCCGAGGAGAGUUCGCAUGGUUGGAGGCUGGGAAGGUGCCUGAGUUGACAUCAUUGUAGGGGGAUGCCCAACUGGUGUUUGCAUUGUAUUGUCAGCCGAGGGAUACCGAGGUCCACCUUGCAAUGCUGCUGAUGCAAACAUAGGUGGCCCAUUACUAGUGGGCCCACCAGGUGCACUUGAAGGGGGAAUUAUCGGACCUGUGGACAAAGGAGAAGAUGCAAACACACCAGGUCGGGCAGCCACCGGGGGAAUAACUGGGCCAGCUGAGAAACCAGAAGCUGGGAAUGCACUAGGAGGUGCGGCAGAAGAGGAAGCGAAUGCGCUGGGAGGUGCCCCAGAAGAG
rnacentral:lncRNA from 1 species